AUUGAACGCUGGCGGCAGGCCUAACACAUGCAAGUCGAACGGUAACAGGAAGAAGCUUGCUUCUUUGCUGACGAGUGGCGGACGGGUGAGUAAUGUCUGGGAAACUGCCUGAUGGAGGGGGAUAACUACUGGAAACGGUAGCUAAUACCGCAUAAUGUCUCCAGACCAAAGAGGGGGACCUUCGGGCCUCUUGCCAUCGGAUGUGCCCAGAUGGGAUUAGCUAGUAGGUGGGGUAACGGCUCACCUAGGCGACGAUCCCUAGCUGGUCUGAGAGGAUGACCAGCCACACUGGAACUGAGACACGGUCCAGACUCCUAAGGGAGGCAGCAGUGGGGAAUAUUGCACAAUGGGCGGAAGCCUGAUGCAGCUGUGCGGCGUGUAUGAAGGAGGCCUUCGGGUUGUAAAGUACUUUCAGCGGGGAGGAAGGGAGUAAAGUUAAUACCUUUGCUCAUUGACGGUACCCGCAGAAGAAGCACCGGCUAACUCCGUG
rnacentral:rRNA from 1 species